AACAUUUUAAACUCUGAGUGGAAGAACUAAUUGUAGAAAACUAACUGAUUACAGAAAAAUAAUUCAAUAUCUUUUUACUUUAUUUAUUUAUUUUCUUUUUUAACAUAUUUAUUACUUAAGAUUUCUAAUUUUUGUAUUUUAGAAGUGUGGUAUUUAUUAUUAUUAUUAUUAUUAUUAUUUCCUUUCUUUUUACUGCGAUUGAAGUAUGCUCCGAAAAUAGUUAAAAUAAAAUUCAUUUAUAUUUUCCAAAAGUUGGUGUUUUACAGGUAAUAAAAUGUUUACUGAAAGAAGUUGGCAAGCAAAAGUGUCGGAUAUAUGUCGGUUUAUUUUGUAAAAUUACUACAAAAAUUCCAAAACGCUCAAAUAACGCCUAUGGGAUUUCAGUUAUGGUGGCGCCUCUGAUCUCUAACAACGCGUUAAACGUUUAUCUAUUUGUAUAUCUUUGGUGAAUUGAAGCAAUAUUUCAUUAUCCAUUAUGUAUUUAAAUGUAUAAGUGCAUGUCUAAAAAAGUUUCCGCAUUGUUUAACAGAAUAUUGUGAAAGUAUAGACUAUUCUGGCAUGUUGAUACCAUGACUGUUUUACUAUUUUUAACACUUAUAUGGUUUAAAAAUUCAAAUCCUUCUGGCACACAUUUAGAGUUUAUUUUCUAAAUCAAUUUAUUGACAUAUAUUGAUCAAUGCAUUUAUUAAGUACUCUUCUGGUACAAAAGCAGGCUUGUAAUUCCAUGUAGAAAAUUUAAAUUUCUUCCGAAAACGCCCAAGUUGAU